CUCUUGGGCUCUUUCUCUGAAGAGUAACUGUAAUUAUUAGGGCUAUACCCAAAUUCAGCUUAGAGUAGGUAUGUGGCUGAACUUCAGCCAAAACCCUGUGCCUGUCUAAAAGAGAUUUUUCUUUUUUUACAUCAAAUUACAUAGGAGGGGCCUUUUCCACACAUGGCCAGCGGGGUUCCUGGUUCUCUGUACUCAAGACUUCUAUUUAUGCCUUUAGGGAAAAGGCAAAGACACUGCAGGGAGGAGAUGGAGAUCUCCCCAAAUCUCCACCACUUCCUGUUCUCAGUACCAAGGCCUAGCAUUAUAAUAUGGAUUGCAGAUAACAUCAAACAUUUGCAAACACCAUGUCUUUCCCUCCCUACAUACUAACAUAAACCUCAUCUUAUAGCAUUAAACAAAACCUUGCCAAUUAAACCAAUUGUCGUCUCUCCUGUUUUCUGAUAAUCUGUGUCCCUUACAAGGGAUUCAUCCAUCUAAUGCACAUUAACUGAGCACAUACUAAGGUGCCUGGUACUAAGCUAGGUAAAGAAAAUCCCAGACUAAGACUCUCUGCAUGCAGUUAGCUGGCAAAACAAGUGUGUGGUUAAUUGCUCUCUAUUCUGGCAUGUUGCUUAGGGUUGUACAGAGGUGUGAAGUAAAUGUAACAUGAACUCAUUCUGGAGAAGAAUUAAUUGUCCCCCUAGGAAAGGGAUGUAGCAGGGAGGGUAGAAGCCUAAAGAGAAAACAGAAGUUGAGUUGUGAGAAAGUGUGUAGCCUUUUACAUUGAAGAGAACGAAAUAAGGUGGUCCCAAUAAAUAGGAACUUGUGUGAUCUGUAAUUUUUGAAAAUAGUGUUAUUUUGAUAAGUAUGCUUUUCUAAGACCAUCUCUAAGAUGGUCACUUGCCUCCCCUCUCAUUUUUUAAAAAAAUUAUUUAUUUAUUUAUUUGAGAUGUAGAGUUACAGACAGUCAGGGGGAGAGACAGAGAAAGGUCUUCUAUCCACUGGUUCACUCCCCAAAUGGUUGCAAAGGCUGCAGCUGGGCCGAUCCAAAGCCAGGAGCCAGGGGCUUCUUCCAGGUCUCCCACUCAGGUGCAGGGGCCCAAGGACUUGGGCCAUCUUGUACUGCUUUCCCAGACCCUAGCAGAGAGCUGGAUCAGAAGAGGAGCAGCCGGGACUCAAACAGGUGCCCAUAUGGGAUGCCUGCACUGUAGGUGGAGGAUUAACUACUGUGCCACAGUGCUGGCCCCUCUCAUUUUUAAAAUCUUCAUCCUCAGUAGAAAUUUCUGUGGUCUGCCAUUUGUAUUCGUGAGUUCUGCAUUCACAGAUUAAAGCAACUAAAAAUAGUGUCUACACAGUAUUAUUCUUGUUAUUAUUCCUUAAACAGUACAGAAUAACAACAGUCUACAAACAGUUUAAUUAUGUUAGGUGUUACAAGUAACCUAGAGGGAUUGGAAGGACGUGGAAGGAUAUGCAUAGGUUAUAUCGAAAUACUGCACUGUAUUAUAUUAGCAACCUCCAGUUUUGGUAUCUGCAGGGUUCUUGGACCCAAUCUCCCAUGGAACUGACAGAUGGAUAUAUAUAUAUAUAUAUAUAUAGAGAGAGAGAGAGAGAGAGAGAGAGAGAGAAGAAGAAGAAGAAGAAGAAGGAGAGAGAAACUAAAAGGAGGAAGGAGAGCUUAGAGAAAGAGGCUUCAAGAAUCCUGUCUGUCUUUGCUGUGUCCCACAGAUCGAAGAGAAAGCAGCCUCUGCAGGUCUCUAUCUAUUUCCACCUCUGCUUGGGCAGGCCUGGGUGAGCUUAUCUGGACUACCACAACAGUUGCCAAACUGGCUUCCUGUCUGCAGGCACUGUCCCUUCCUUUCCAGACUUCACGGUGAAGUCAGUGAUCCUUUGAAAGUGUAAAUGUGGUCAUCUGGACGCAACCAAUUUAGGAUGUGGUACAAACACACUGUGACAGAGCCUACAAGAGCCCUUCACAGUCUGGAUACAACUUGCCCUUUCCAGCCUCAUCUGUCACCACCUCUCACCGGGUGUGAGGUGAAAUCUCACUGUGGUUUUAAUUUGCAUUUCCCUAAUGAAUAGUGAUACUGAGUACUUUUUUAUAUAUCUGUUGGCCAUUUGUAUGUCUUCUUUAGAGAACUAUCUAUUCAAAUCACUUGUUCAUUUUUAUAAUAAGGUUAUUUGUUUUUCUUUCCAUAAGAGUUGUUUGCAUUUCUUUUGGACAUUAAUGCUUUAUCAAAUGUAUGGUUUACCAAUAUUUUCUCCUAAUCCAUAUGUUACCUAUCACUGUUAAUUGUUUCCUUUGCUAUGCAGAAGAUUUUUAUUUGAUGUAAUCCUCCUUACCUAUUUUUUGCUUUUAUUGCUUGUGCUUUAGGGAUCAUGUUCAAAAAAAUCAUUGUCCAGACCAAGUUCCUGUAAGUUUUCCCCUAUGUUUUCUUCUAGUAGUUUAAAGUUUCAGGUCUUACGUUUAAGUCUUUAAUCCAUUUUGAAUUGAUUUUUGCAAAUGAAGUGAGAGAAGGAUCCAAUUUCAUUCUCUUGCAUAUGGAUAUCCAGUUUCCCAGCAACAUUUACUGACGAGAUUUUGAUUUUCCCGAUGUGUAUACUUGGCACCUGUGCUGAAAAUUAAUUGACUGUACAGGCAUGGGUUCAUUUGGGGGUUCUAUAUCCUGUUCCAUUGGUAGAUGAGUCUUUUUGUGUCAGUACCAUCUGUUUUAGUAACAACUAUCACUUUGUGUUGUAGUUUGAAAUUAGGUUGUGUCAUGCCUUCAGGUUUCUUCUUUUUGCUCACAGUUGCUUUUUGUGACUCUGUGUGUUUGUGUCUGGUUCCAUACAAAUUUUAGUAUUUUUUUCUAUUUCUGUGAAAAAUGGCAACUUUGGAAUUUUUAUAAGGAUUACAUUGAAUCUGUAGAUCAGUUUGGAUAGUGUGAACAUUUUAAUAUUUUUAUAGAUUCAUGUCCUUGGUUAAGUUUAUUCCUGAGUGUUUUACCUAUUUUUAAAGACCUAUUUUGUUUAUUUGAAAGUUAGAGUUUCAGAGAGAGAGGAAAAAAGAGAGAGAGAGAAAGAGACAGAGAAAGAGAGAGAGACAGAGAGACCAUCCAUCCACUGGCUCACUCCCCAAAUGACUGCAAUUGUCCUUGCUGGUCCAGGCCAAAGGUAGGAGCUAGGAACUUCAUCCAGGUUUCCCAUGUGGGUGCAGGAGCCCAAGCACUUAGGCCAUCUUCCACUGAUUCCCCAGUUACAUUUUCAUGGAGUGGGAUUGGAAGUGGAGCAGCUGGGACUGGAACCAGUGCCUAUCCCACUGCCCAUAUGGAAUGCUGACUUGCAGAUGCUGACUUGUUAUACCACAAUGCCAGCCCAAAUAUUUUAUAUUUUAAGCACUUAAAAUGGGAUUGUUCUGUUGAUUCAUUUUCAGAUGCUUGUUUUUAGUGUAAAGAGACACCACUGUUUUUUGUGUGUUGACUUUUUAUUCUGUCACUUUACUAUAUUUUUUUAUUAAUUCUAUAGAUUUUUCGUGAAAUAGUUAGAAUUUUUUUUAUAUAUAAGAUCAUAUUGUCAUCAAACAGUAACAAUGCUACUUCUUUCUUUUAUCUGGAUGCCUCCCAUUUCUUUCUCCUGUUUACUAGCUCUGGCAAGGACUUCCAAUACUAUGUUGAAUAGAAGUGCAACUGGACAACCUGGUCUUGUUUCAGAACUUAGAGGAAAGGAUUUCAACUUAUUACCAUUGGUUACGAGGAUAGCUGUGAAUUUCUCAUAAAUGGCAUUUGUUGUGUUGAGGAACAUUUCUUCUAUAACUAAGUUGUUGAAUGUUUUUAUUAUGAAAAGAUGUUGAGUUUAGUCAUAUGCUUUUUUGCAUCUAAUAAGAUAAUCAUGGCAUUUCUGUGCUUCUUUUUGUUAAUGUAACAUAUCACAUUUUUUGAUUUGUGAAUGUUCCAUUCUUCCAUCCUAGGGAUAUAUUCCAUUUGAUCAUGGCAAACUAUCAUUUUAUUUCUUGAGGAUCUUUCUGUUUUCAUCAAAAUAUUAGUCUGUAGUUUUCUUGUAAUGCCAAUUUCUGGCUUUGUUAUCAACAUAAUUCUGUCUCAUAAAAGUAAUUCAGAAAUGUUCCUUCCUCUUCAGUUUUUUGUGAGGGUUUGUGAGGGUUUUUUUUUUUUUUUUUAAGAUUUACUUAUUUAUUUGAAAGGCAGAGUUACAUAGAGAUCUUCUAUCCACUGGUUCACUCACCUGAAUGGUCUAAAUGGCCACUGCUGGGCCAGGUCCAGUGCCUAUAUAGGAUACUGGAAUCACAGACAGUGGCUGAACCCGCUGUGCCACAACACCAGCCCUAGUAGUAAUUCUUCUUUAAGUGUUUGGUAGAAUUCACCUGUGGAGCCAUCAAAUUUUAAGUUCUUUUUCAUGGAAAACUUUUUAUUAUUGAUUUGAUCUCUUUAUUCAUUACUGACAUAUUUAUAUUUUCUAUUUCUUUAAGAUUCAAUCUUGGUCGGUUUUGUGUGUCCAGCAAUUUAUCCAUUUUUCUAGGUUAUCCAAGUUUAUGGCAUAUAAUUGUCUAAUUAUUCUUUGUAUAUCUAUUGUAUCCAUUUUUUAACAUCUCCUCUCUUAUUGCUAAUUUUAUUUCAGUCUUCUCUCUCCUUUAAUAGUCUAGCUAUAGGUUUGUGUAUUUUGUUUAUCUUUCAAAAAACCUGCUCUCCUUUGCAUUGAUCUUUUGUAUUAUUUUUCUGGUAUCUAUUUCAUUUACUUCUGCUCUGAUCUUUAUUAUUUGUUUCCUUCUACCACAAUUAGGCUUAACUUGUUCCUUUUUUCUGUUUCUUGGAGGCAUAACAUUAGAUUGUCUGCUUGAGAUCUUUCUUGAUGUAGAUGUUUACUGCUAUAGACUUUCCUCUUAGAACAGGUACUAUGGUAUCCCAUAAAUUUUUGCAAAAUUCUUCCUAUUGUGAGUUUCUACCUUUUCUAUCAAAAAAAAGUUAAUUAAUAGGAUUUUAAUCUCAUUAAAUUUUCUAGGAACUUUUCUUGUGAUUUAAUAUGAAUAUAUGAUCUACCCAGGAGAAUUGUUCUAAAUAUAUACUACAAGAAUAUGUAUUCUGUUGUUGGAUGGAGUGUUCUGAAUAUCUCUGUUAGAUCUGCUUGAUCUAAAGUGCUGUUCAUGUCUAACGUUUCCUUAAUUUUCUGUUUGAAUUAUUCUUCUGUUAUUCAGUGUGGAAUAGUGAAGUCCCCUGUAUUAGUAUAUUGCAAUAUGUCUCUUCUUUCAGAUCCUUGAAUAUUUUCUGUAUAAAUGUAGGUGCUCCAAUGUUGUGUACAUAUGUAUUUACUAUUGCUACUACUUGCUCUUGGUCAUUUGACCUCUCUAUCAUUAUGUGAUGUUCUUCUUGGUUGCUUUUCACAGUUUUUGACUCAACAUCUAUUUUGUAUGAUAUAAGUUUACUACUCCUGUGCUCUCUCAGUUUCCAUUUGUCUGGAAUUCUUUUUCUAUCUCUUUAUUUGUUCAGUCUUUGCAUCCUUAAAAGUAAGGUAAGUUUCUUAUAAGCAACAUGGUGUUGAGUCUUGUUUUUAUCCAUUCAGUUACUAUGUGUCUUUUGAUUAAAGAAUUUAAUAUAGUUACAUGCAAGGUAAAUAUUAAUAGUAAAGGACUUAUUACUGUUGACAUUUUGUUGUUUUCUAGUUGUUUGUAGAUUCCUUGUUUCUUUCUAUGUUGGUGUUUUACUGAGGAUUUGAUAGUUAUUCUGUAGUACUAUGAGUAUGCUUUGAAUCUUUUCUAUUUUGUUCAGCACAUCUACUAUAGAUGUUUACUUUGUGGUUACCAUGAGGCUUACAUAGACCAUGUCAUUAUAGUUUAUUUGAAGCUGAUAACUGUGAUUGCAUGCAAUAAUUCUGUCCUUUAAUCCUCAUAUUAGGGAUAAAAUUUCUUUACGCACAACAAUUACAGUCCUAGAGUAUUCUCAUUGUGGCUCUCUUACCACUAAUACCUUUGAUUUUUAUCAUUCAUUCAUUUUAUAUUAUUAAUUACUGGCCUAUUAUUUUAGCUUAAAGAACUCUUCUUAGCAAUUACUGUAAGGCAGGCCUAGUAUUGAUAAACUCCCUUAGCAUUGAUUUGGAAAGUUUCCAUUUAUCCCUAUUUUGUAAAGACUGCUCUGCUGGGUAAAGUAUUCUUAAUCAGUGGUUUCUUUCUUUAAUACUUUAAAUACACUAAUACCAGUAUCUCUUCAUACUCAGAAUUUCUGCUGAGCAGUUAACUGUCAUAGCAAAACCCCUCUGCAUGAGAUGUUUCUUGGUUGCUGCUCUCAGAAUUUUUUCUUAGUCUAUGAAUUUUGAUAGUUUGUUUUUUUUAUUUAUAUUUUCUUUUUUUUUAACUUUUAUUUAAUGAAUAUAUAUUUCCAAAGUACAGCAUAUGGAUUACAAUGGCUUACCCCCCAUAACGUCCCUCCCACCUGCAACCCUCCCCUUUCCCAAUCCCUCUCCUCUUCCAUUCACAUCAAGAUUCAUUUUCGAUUCUCUUUAUAUACAGAAGAUCAGUUUAGCAUACAUUAAGUAAAGAUUUCAACAGUUUGCUCCCACACAGAAACAUAAAGUGCAAAAUACUGUUUGAGUACUAGUUAUAGCAUUAAAUCUCAAUGUACAGCACACUAAGAACAAAGAUCCUACAUGAGGAGUAAGUGCACAGUGACUCCUGUUGUUGACUUAACAAAUUGACACUCUUGUUUAUGGCAUCAGUAAUCACCCUAGGCUCUUGUCAUGAGCUGCCAAGGCCCCUGAGUUCACCGACUCUGAUCAUAUUUAGACAAGGCCAUGGUCAAAGUGGAAGUUUUCUCCUCCCUUCAGAGAAAGGUACCUCCUUCUUUGAUGACCUGUUCUUUCCACUGGGAUCUCACUUGCGGAGAUAUUUCAUUUAGGUUUUUUUUUUUUUCCCCCAGAGUGUCUUGGCUUUCCAUGCCUGAAAUACUCUCAUGGGCUUUUCAGUGGGAUCUGCAUGCCUUAAGGGCUGAUUCUGAGGCCAGAGUGCUGUUUAGGACAUCUGCCAUUCUAUGAGUCUGCUGUGUAUCUCACUUCCCAUGUUGGAUCGUUCUCUCCCUUUUUUAUUCUAUCAGCUAGUAUUUGCAGACACUAUUCUUGUUUAUGUGAUCCAUUUGGUUUUUAGUCCUAUCAUUAUGAUCAAUUGUGAACAGAAAUUGAUCACUGGGACUAGUGAGAUGGCAUUGGUACAUGCCACUUUGAUGGGAUUGAAUUGGAAUCCCCUGGUAUGUUUCUAACUCUACCGUUUGAGGUAAGUCAGCUUGAGCAUGUCCCGAAUUGCACAUCUCUUCCCUCUCUUAUUCCCACUCUUAUAUUUAACAGCGAUCACUUAUGAAAUUCUUUCAUAAUGGCUUGAAUGGGCUGAGACAGGGACCAAGAUAUCUCCCCAAUGGGAGACAUCGCCCAGGGCUGAGGGAAGAGAGACAGCAGGGAGCUUGCAGCCCUCAUGCCUCUGUUCUGCUGCUUCCCAUCAGGUUGGGCCAAGAGUAGAGCCGUCCAUGCCCCGUGGCUCAUUGUGGGGCCUCCAGAGGAAGCAUGGGUGGAGACAGCGAUCAGUUUUCAGUUAAGUUUCAGCACUUAAGAAGAAUUGUGUAUUGAUUACAGUAUUCAACCAAAAGUAUUAAGUAGAACAAACAAAAAAAAUACUAAGAGGGAUAACAUAUUAAGUUGCUCAUCAACAGUCAGGGUGAGGGCUGAUCAAGUCACCGUUUCUCAUAGUGUUCAUUUCACUUUAACAGGUUUCCUUUUUGGUGCUCAGUUAGUUGUCACCUAUCAGGGAGAACAAGUGGUAUUUGUCCCUUUGUGAUUGGCUUAUUUCACUCAGUAUAAUGUUUUCCAAAUUCCUAACAGGGAUCACUUUUCAGUUAAAAUUUAAACACCUAAGAAUAAUUGUGUGUUAAUACUUUAUCCAUUUUAGUAUUUUUUUUGUUCUAGUACCAUUGGUUGAACUCUGAUAGUUUGAUUAUUAUCUAUCUUAAUUAAACCCUCUUUGAGUUGAAUUUGAUAGGAGACCUCUGUCCUUUUGUCUUUGAAUGUUGGUAUAUUUCCCAAAUUUAGAGAAGUUAUUAUUUUUUAAAAAUGACAAAUGGAGAGGGAGGUACAGAGCAAGAGAUUGGCAUCUCCCAUCUGUGUGUUCAUUCCCCAGAUGCCUGUAACAGCUGUGACUAGGCCAGACUGAAGCCAGGAGCCAGGAACUCAAUCUGGGUCUCCCACAUAAGUGACAGGAGCUCAUGCAUUUGGGCUGUUAUCUGCUACCUUCCAGAUGCAUUAACAGAAAGCUGGAUUGGAAAUGCAGAGUCACUAGCACUCAAAUCAGGCAUUUCAAUAUGGGAUGUGGGCAUCCCAAGCAAUGGCUUAACCCACUGUGCCAUAAUAGUCACCUCCUUGGGGAAGUUUUAAACCAAUUUUUCUUUAAAUAUGGUUUCUGAACCUUUUUCUAUUUUCCUUCUUGAAUUCUUAUAAUGUGUAAGGUCUCUUGAUGGUAUCCCAUAAUUCUUAUAGAUUUUUCUAUAUUAGUUUUGCUCCUGUAGAUAAUUUCAGUGUUCUGUUUUUUAGCUUAUUGAUUCUUCAGCUUGACUGAGCCUCCUUGUGGAAGUUUCGGUUGCAUUUUCAUUUCAAUCACUGUAUUUUUCACCUCUAGGAUUUAUUUUAAAAUUAUUGUUUCUAUUUCUUUGUCAGACUUCUUUUGAUCAUGAAUUGUUUCCAAAUGUCCAUUAGUCUUUUAUACACAUAUUCUUGUAGUUGGCUGGAAUUCUUUUUUACUUUACUGGGUUUUUUUUUUUUUUCACUUCUGCAUGAAAAAUUUCUGUCAGUCAGACCCCUGGAAAUGUAGUCCUUCCUUUGUUCUUUUCAUAGCCCAGAGCAGCCCAAGUUAGUAUAGCUAUACCCUAAUCAGCCAUCUUGGAUCUCCUAAGUUUGAAUUUUACAUUUUACAUCACUUUAUUUUAUUUUUAAACCAGUAGUUAUAUCACAUAUAUGAGUAACCAUAAACAAUAUAUUUGUUGUACAGCUUUUUUUAAUUUUGUGCUUUACAAUAAUGAUCUCAUGCUUUAUCUUAUCAGUGAUGACUUAUUUUUCACUCAGUGUCUUCUGAUUCAUUAAUCUUGUUUUAAAUUAUAUUUCAUUCAUGUCACUAUUUUGUACUAUUCCUUUGUGUAGGAUACCACAAUUUUUAAAUCAGUUUUUCUGGCAAUGGACAUUUGGUUUGUUUCCAGGUUUUCCUUGUGACUGCAGUGUUGUAUGAAAUUUUCUUUUCUGCAUCUCCUGGUAUAUGUGUGUGUGUGCGUGUGUGUGUGUGUUUUAUUGUUAUUGUAACAAACUACUAACACAAAUUUAGUGACUUAAAACAACAGCAUAUUUUCAUCUUACAGUUCUGUAGUUUAGUAGUUAGAUAUAAGAUUCACUGAGCUAUGGCCAGUGCCGCGGCUCACUAGACUAAUCCUCCGCCUUGUGGUGCCGGCACACCGGCUUCUAGUCCCAGUCGGGGCGCCGGAUUCUGUCCCGGUUGCCCCUCUUCCAGGCCAGCUCUCUGCUGUGGCCAGGGAGUGCAGUGGAGGAUGGCCCAAGUGCUUGGGCCCUGCACCCCAUGGGAGACCAGGAUAAGUACAUGGCUCCUGCCAUCGGAUCAGCGCAGUGCGCCGGCCGCAGCGCGCCAGCCGCGGCAGCCAUUAGAGGGUGAACCAACAGCAAAGGAAGACCUUUCUCUCUCUCUCUCACUGUCCACUCUGGCUGUCAAAAUAAAUAAAUAAAUAAAUAAAUAAAUAAAUAAAUAAAAGAUUCACUGGGCUAAAUUGAAGAUGUCAGGAAGGCUAUGUUCCUAUCUGUUCAUACUAAGGAUGACUCAAUUUUCUUGCCUUUUGCAGUUCCUAGAGGGCUUUCUUCAGUCUUUGGAGAUAACUCAUUCAUUUCAGAUACAACAACUCAGUGUCAUCUCUUUCACCACAGCUAACAAGAAAGGUUCCCAGCUUUGAAGAACGCAUGCAAUUACAUGGGGGCUCAUCGAGGAAAUCAAGAAUUAGGACACAGAAAUCUUUGGAAAGAGAUUGUGAAUUCUAUCCACCACAAUGUGCAAGAGUUUCACCAGGAUAUAUAUCCUUAGGAAUGAAAUUGCUGAGCCACAGUGUGUGUUUGUGUACAUUUUCAAUUUUAUAGGAAAAUGACUGAAAGUUUUCCCAAAAUUAUUGUAACCAGUUUAUACAAUAUAUAGGAGUUUCUAUAUCCUUGUCAAUACUUUGUGUACUAGGCAUCUUUCUUUUAUGCAUUUUAGAUAUUAAACCUUCUCUUAUAUGUAUGGCAAUGCCAUAAUUCUCCCAGUUUGUUCUUUAUUGUUUACUUUCCUUACUCAUAUCUCUGAUGAACCGUAAUUGUUAAUAUUAAUAUAGUCAGUUGUGUUAAUUGCUUCUUCUGUGGUUUUCACUUGUUUUUAUUAUUUACAUUUUCAUAGAGUGAACAGAAAUAUUUCUUGUUCCUAAGAAUGCUAUUGUUGAAGAUUUUGGAUGGAUUAUCUUUAGCAAAUUAAGAGCUUCCUUUUUAUUCUUCAUUUGGUAACUUUUUUUUAAAAUCAUGAAUUGUUGAAUUUUAUUUAAUGCUUUUUCUGCACCUAUUAAAAUUAUGGUAAAAUUUCUAGCUUUUCAUGUUAUUUUGGUGAUUUAUAUUUAUAGAUUUUUUUAAUAUUGAAGCAAUCUUUUAUUUCUUAGGUAAAUUGAAUUUGCUAUAAUUGGCUUUCAAUAUUUUGGCAGGAAUUUUGGCACCUGGGUUCACAAAUCAGAUUAUUCUGUAACUUUCCUUUUCAUAUAUUCUUAGCUGGUUUUGGCAUUACAAAAUACUGGCCUUAUAUAAUUGGUUAUGGAAUUUUGUCUUCUUUUAAGUUUUCCAGGAGAAUUUGCAUUAGAAUGUAAUAAUUUGUUCCUUGGUAGUAUUGUAAGUCAUACCUGAAAAAAACUUAGAUCUAAUGUUUUCUUUGUGGCGUUAUUUCUAACUGCUAAUUUUAUUUCUUUAGUGGUUGUAAAACUGUUCAGGCUUUCUGCUUAUUGAUUUUACUUUUAUUAGGCUUAGUUUUUGAGAAUUUCUUCAUUGUGGCUAUGUUUUAAAAUUUAUUGAUAUAAAAUUAUUUAUAGGGGCCGGCGCUGUGGCGCAGCAGGUUAAUACCCUCGCCUGCAGCGCUGGCAUCCCAUAUGGGCGCUGGUUCGAGACCCAGCUGCUCCACUUCCUAGCCAGCUCUCUGCUGUGGCCUGAGAAAGCAGUAGAAGAUGACCCAGGUCCUUGGGUCCCUGCACCUGCAUGGGAGACCUGGAAGAAGCUCCUGGCUCCUGGCUCCUGGCUUUGGAUCGGUGUAACUCUGGCCGUUGUGGCCAACUGGGAAGUGAACCAUCGUAUGGAGGACCUCUCUCUCUCUCUCUCUCUCUCUCUGCCUCUCCUCUCUCUGUGUAACUCUGACUUUCAAAUAAAUAAAUAUUUUUAAAAAAACAUUGUUUAUAGCAUUCACUUACUUCUUAAAAGGACUGCCACAAUUAUAUUUAAGUAGACCUUUUUUUUUCCUGAGACCUUUUUUUUUCCUGCUACAUUUUACUUGUGCUUUUUUUCUUAGCUAAAAAUCAUCACAAAUUUAUUUAUUUUAUUUUAAAAUAACCAAGUUUUGGAUUCAGCAAACUUCUGUAUUGCACCUUUUAUAUUUACUACAUUUUUUCUCUUUUGUAUUACGUCCUGCCUUCUACUUUGAGUGUGCUCUUUUUUAACUUCUUAAACAACUUUUCUUUCUUCUUUUCUACUAUAAUAUUUAAUCUUACACAUUUCCCUCAAAAUAGUGUGUUGUUGUAUCCUACAUAUACUUACAGUUUUCUGUGUAGUAAGUUAAUUAUUAUCCAUUCUUAGUUUUAGAAAAAAUCUCCAUUGUGACUAACUCUGAUAUAAGCAUGAUUUAGGAGAUGAUUUCUAAUUUAUAGUUUUAUUUCUGAUUUUUAUUUUAAUUUCAAUUGUAGUCAGAAAACAAAGCCUAUCUAUGAUUGGGAUGUGGUUUGUCACCCAAGGUUCAUGGGUUGGGAUCUUGAUCCUCAGUUUGGCAGAGUUGAGAGGUAGAACUUUUAGGAGGCGAAUCAUGGAGGGGUGUUUCUUACAUCAUUGGAGGAGUGCCCUUGAAAGGGAUUGUGGGACUUUAGUCUCUAUCUGGCUUCGUGUUUGAUGAUGUGAUCUCUUACACAUACACACACACACAUGCUCCUGUCAUUGUGUGACACAGCUGAAAGGGUUCUCACCACAACUGAACAGAUGCUGGCAUCAUGCCAUUGAGCUUCUAGAGCUUUGAGCUAAAGAAACCUCUUUUUGUAAAUGACAGUAUCCUGCCUUAGGCAUUUUGUCAUAGUAAAGACAAAAUGAACUAAGACACUGUUUGCUAGUUUUCUUUAAGAUUUGCCAACAUGUGAUUUAUAGAUAGCCUAGAAUGUUUCCCAUUUUUAUAAAUAUUCCCUGUGGGCUUAAGAAAAACAUGUAUAUUAUAAUUACCAAUAAUGUUCUAUGACAGAUAUUAAUUGUAUAAUUCAAUUAUUCUAUAUAUUCACCAAUUUUAUUUUCUGUUAGACCUAAAUAAUCAAUGCAGAUGUUAGAAAUUUCCCAGUAUGACUGGAUUUGUCAAUAUCUUUCUGUAAUUCUAUUUUUGUGUGUAUUUGAGGCUAAUUUGUGGUGACACAAGUUUAGAGUAAUUAUGUCUGGUGAACUAAACUUUAUAUGUAGUAAUCUUCAUUGUUAAUGAUUUUAUUUAAUAUCUAUUUAAUUGCUUUAAAAAAUAUAGCAGUUCCAGCUUUCAUUGUCCUAAUCUGUUGGUUAACUUACUUAUUUAGUUUAAAUUGUCAAUGAUUAUGUAUAUAUAUGUAUAUAUUUCACUUUUUUUUUUUUUUUUUUUGACAGGCAGAGUGAGAGAGAGACAGAGAGAAAGGUCUUCCUUCUGUUGGUUCACCCCACAAUGGCCGCCACGGCCGGCGUGCUGCGCCAAUCCUAAACCAGGAGCCAGGUGCUUCUCCUGGUCUCCCAUGCAGGUUCAGGGUCCAAGCACUUGGGCCAUCCUCCACUGCCUUCCCGGGCCACAGCAGAGAGCUGGUCUGGAAGAGGAGCAACCAGGACAGAAUCCGCGCCCCAACCGGGACUUAAACCCGGGUGCCAGUGCCGCAGGGGAGGAUUAACCAAAUGAGCUGCAGCACCGGCCUAUAUUUCACUUCUAAGAGAUCUUUUGUUCAUUCUUCUAGCAUGCUCAGUAAUUUUUGGUAGUUUUUUCUUCUUGGCUUCUCUUUUAAAAAAGUCUUUUAAAUUUUGUAUACAUGGUAAUUAUGUAUAUUUAUAUACUUAAAGAUUUGUUUGUUUAUUUGAAAGUCAGAUUUAAAGAGAGAGAGGAACACACACACACACACACACACACAUCUUUUAUUUGCUGUUUCACUCCCCAGAUGGCCUCAACUGCCAGGGCUGGGCAUGACCAAAGCCAGGAGCCAGGAGCCAGGAGCUUCUUCCAGGUCUCCUACAUGGCUAGCAGGAACCCAAACACUUUGGCCAUCUUCUGCUGCUUUUCCUAGGCAAUUAGCAGGGAGUGGGAAGCUAUGACAUGAACCUGUGCUCAUAUGGGAUGCUGGUGUUACGGGCCACAGCUUUUCCCACUGCACUACAUUGCUGGGUCCUUUGAUAACUAUAAAACAUGAAGUUCUUUGGCUCUAAAUCUGUAUUUUUUGUUUUAACUCACCCUUUCUUGUAAGCAUUCUCUUUUGUUAUGUCGUUGGUAAUUUUGGAUUUUGUGCUCAUAUCUUGUAUACCUUAAUGUUUGGGAAUUCCAGAUGCCUCCCUUCCGGGGAGGAUUUGCAUGUGCUGGGCUGGAGCCAUGUGUGGACUUUCACAGUGUGCAAUUAAUUAAGAGAUUCAUGCUGCUCUUUCCUAUCUUGCCUUGGGACCAUCCAUGAUUAGCCUCUUAGCACCAAUUCAGGUGUUGAUAUGUGUAAUUUCAGGAUCCCAGGGCAGCCAACCUAGGAAUUUACUCACUGGAGUUUACUUACUAUUGUAGUUUUGGGCUUGGAUUUUAGCUAGCCCUUACUUUCCCCUCUUAGCUGAGGGUGCAGGAAAGGAAACAAGAUUUCUCUUAGCAUUUUAGUUGUUACAAAAUCCACUGAAAUUAUCUUUGUUGUGAUAGAUACAGAUUCUAAUCACAUUUUGGCAGGAGACACUUUAGAGUAGCAAAUCUGAUAAUGCUAGAAGUAUAAGUCUCCUCCUAUUGAGCCUUUUAACCAAUCUCCCACUUGCCUACAUUCUGUCUCCAGGCUCCUGUAAGAAAAAUCCCUGUGGGUGCACCUGGGGCUUUUAGUUUUUCUGUCUUUUCUUCCAGGCUAACUUUAUCAGCAGCUCCUUCUGAGGUGCUUAGGCUUCAUCUUCUUCCUUUUGCUAUAUCUUCUAACACAUUGUCCCCAUAUUGUAGUUAGUGGUUGACAGACUCUGUGACUUUCUGUUUUGUGUCUUUUUUGUUGCAGGGUCAUUUUUGAGAGGAGGAGGUAGAAAAGGCAUUACUUUGCCAUCUUCAAAAAUAUGCUUUAAUUUAAAAUCCACUCAAAAUUGAUUGCUCGCAUAUUGUGAAAAAUUACUGCAGCCUCCAAGUAGUUCGAGUUUCACAAAAGUGGCCUCUUCAACUUUGGGAUCCUUUCCAGCAAGAGGGAUCACAUUUCAGUUAAGAAACAACGAAAUCCAGUCAUUUGCAACAAAAUGGAGGAAUCUGGAACACAUCAUGCUGAGUGAAGUAAGCCAGUCCCAAAGGGACAAAUACCAUAUGUUCUCCCUGAUCGGUGACAACUGACUGAACACCAAAAAGGAAACCUCCUGAAGUGAAAUGGACACUAUGGGAAAUGGUGACUUGAUCAGCAUAGCCCUGACUGCUAAUGGACAACUUAAUAUAUUAUCCCUCAUAGUAUUUUUUUUGUCUGUUCUACUUAAUAUGACUGGUUUAAUUCUGUAAUUAUCACACAGUUAUUCUUAAGUGUUGAAAAUUAACCCUAGUGAGUCUUGAUGUCUUCUGUAAGUUCAUGUCUCUCUCCAGAAUUUUUCUCCUCAUGUCAGUGCUUCCCCCUGUGCAAGAAAGUUUGGAUCCUUAGUGCUGUCUUAUUUAAAUAUCUCUAAUUUUCAAGGAUUAUUUAAGGAAUCUUGUGGACUUGGAAGAAAAUCAUGAUUCUCUAUAAGCAGGAAGUUCACCAUUAAAAUUUAAAAUUUUUAAGGACUAUACCUGAUUUCAGCUUCUUGGAUUGCCACACUAAGAAAUGAGAAACUACAUAAGUAUCAUUUGAUAUUUUUACAAGUGUGGGAAAAUUGGGCUUUCCCACUAAUAAAAGUAUUUUCAUGGGUGGAACUUUAUUCAAAUUCUUAAAUGUCUGAUGGAAAAUUGCCAGCUUUGUUUGAGGUAGGAUAGGAAGAGUUUUAGAAAUGAAAUAUUUCAAAUUGCUGGGGGGAAAAAAGCUAUCUAGCAUAAAACAACAAAAGUGUCAGCCAUAAAGAUGUACAACAUUUUUCAGGAAGCCUGUCUAUCCUGAGCAAAUGUUUUCAUACCAAAUAACAAUCCGUUCAUAAUCUCUGCUAUGGAGGAGACAUCCCAAGGUUGCUGGACGGAAAUAUGUAAAAUAUGUUCUGAAACCCAAUCUAAUAGAAUCCCAACAUUUGAGUUCAUUCAGAGGAAGGCAUUCAAAGGCAAUGUAAUUUUCAUAAAACAUGUCCGUCUAGGUAAUCAUGAAUGCUGAAUAUUGUCACGGUUUCUGAGGAAUUCCCAGCCUUCUGGAAAAUCCUUCCAACUAGACUUUUACCCACCAAGAAGAAAUAACAAUAAUGACUUGAAAUUUAAAAUAAACUGUACUGGAAAAAUUCUAUAACUCCCACUCCAAAGGCAGCAGUAGGAAUGUAGUGCUACUUGUAAUUUGACACAGGGAUUUGAAAAUGAACAUAAAUACAAGUCCUGAUCAGACUGCUGGGAUUUGGCAAACAUGGUGGAUUAAGGAAAGGAUGGCUCUCCAGGAAUGACCAUACAGGAGACUCUCAAAUUGUCCUAGUAGAUAUUCAUAGAUGUGUACAUGACAGGAAUGUGAUGUUUCUCAGUAAUGAUUUCAUCAGUGUGUAUGCUACUGAUUAUUGGCAUGACCCAAUAUUAGCACUGGGUAUCCAUUUACAGAGAAUGUAGGAAGAAAGACAUGGACAAGGAAAUGCUCAGACUCACUGGCACAGGCUAUCUGCAACACCACUCUGGAGUGAAGAUCCCGAAAAGAGUAGGCAGUGGGAAAGAACUGGAUCUAGUCUAACAGUUUUAUUCAAGAGUUACCUACAUUUUCUCCCAAAGUCUCCUAAAAUAGAAUAGGGGUUAUAUACCAAUAUAAAGUUUUGGCAAGUUGAGCUGUUAAACUGACAGUGUUAUAUAGAGUGGAGUUUUCUGGCUUUUCCUCAUGCAUCUGAGUCUUUUUAUCCUCAUACACUAAUGCUUCAGGUUAUUUGAUCUGCCCCUAAGCAAUGGAAACAGUAUUUACAGCAAGUUGUGUGCUCCAUCUGUCACGUGCAAAUAGCCUCCUAUUCCUGUGGCCACAUGAAAAUGAGAGAUUCAAAUGGGGUCAUCUGGAGUUCUCUGCUGAGAGAAAAUUAGCCAGUGUCAGCUUUGCACUUUGGCAUCACCAGUGCUGUAGGAACUAAAAGUUGGUGAGGAAGGGAUGGCUGACUUGUCUCAGUAUUUCCCCACACAGCUGUGUAAAGCAGAUUUGGGGCUCAUGCCUGCACUCACAGGGAGUGAUAGAAUGGCACAGCCAUGGCACUCUGUAGUAACAGAAACUGUCCGAGGAAGGGGAAACAGGGAGAUUUGGGGCCAAAAGUGCAUUUUCCACUAGUGAUGUGAGUUGUUACUUGGCAUAAAUUUGUCACUGAAAUGCUUUCAUUUGUGCAAUAAAUAUUUCUUUAAAAGAUUUUUAUUUGUUUGAAAGGCAGAGAGACAGAGCGAGACAGAGGGAGAUCUACCAUCCUCUGGUUCAGGCUCCAAAUGCCAACUACAGUCAGAGCUGAGCUAGGCUGAAGUUCAGAGCUGAGAAGUCCAUCUGGGUCUGUCACAUGACUGUCAGGAACCCAUCUACCUGAGCCGUCACCAGCUCCCUUCCAGGGUGUUCAUUAACAAGAAGCUGGAAUGAGGCAGGAGCAGAGCCAGAAUUCAAACCCUGUGCUUCUAUAUGGGAUGUGGUGUCCCAAGCAGCGACUUAACUGUUGAGCCAAACACCUGCUCCAAUAAAUAUUUCUUAAGUAUUUCUUUUGUACAAAGACGUUUCUGCUGUGUGUGUGUGUAUGUGUGUGUGUGUGUGUGUGUUAAUCAUGUGUGAGGCCUGGAUGGAGUUCCAGGCUCCCGGCUUCAGCCUGGUCCAGUUCUGGCCAUUGUGGUCAUUUGGAGAGUGAACCAGUGAAUGGAAAAUCUCUUUCUCUCUCUCUCUUCACUCUGCCUUUCAAAUAAAUAAAAAUAAAUAUUUUAAAAGUGUUUGGGCUGGCGCCGUGGCUCACUAGGCUAAUCCUCUGCCUGCGGCGCCGGCACCCCGGGUUCUAGUCCCGGUUGGGGCACCAGAUUCUGUCCUGGCUGCUCCUCUUCCAGUCCAGCUCUCUGCUGUGUCCCAAGAAGGCAGUGGAGGAUGGCCCAGGUCCUUGGGCCCUGCACCCACAUGGGAGACCAGGAUGAAGCACCUGGCUCCUGGCUUCAGACAGCGCAGCGCGCUGGCUGCAACAGCCACUUGAGGGGUGAACCAACAGAAAAAGGAAGACCUUUCUCUUUGUCUCUCACUGUCUAACUCUGCCUGUCCAAAAAAAAAAAAAUGUUUGAAUUGGACUCUUAUAAAUCUUUAAUUUUUCUAUAUGCAUAUUACACGCAAUAAAAAGUUAGCUCUAAAAUGUACAUAUUCCUCCCAUAAUUUCUGGAGAAAUUAAUUUUCUCCAGUUACCAAAUGCAACUCAGAAAUCAGAAAUUUCCAAUCUGGCUUUGUGAAUCCCAAUCUCAGGUCCCAAACAAUGUAUCUUAAGUUUUUCCAUUAAGUGUGCAUGAGCACAUAUCAUAUACACGUGCACAUUGCUUCUUGAUUUCUCUUCCAGAUGAAAAUUUUGCCUUAUGUAAUUUAAGUUUCUGAUACAUAAGGCACUGUUCUUGGUUCUUAGUGUGUAUUAACUCAUGUAAUCCUGAAAACCAUCCUCUAAGGUAGUCAUAAUUGCCUCCACUUUACAGAAUCUUAGAUCCAAAAAGAUUAAGUAAUUUGCCUCAAAAACAGAAAUCUAAUCAGGUCUCAUUGCCUUCAGAGCCCUCACUUUUUCUUCUACAUCAAAACUUUCCUUUUCUGUAAGGAAGAAGAUAGUGACUUAAAAACUAAUAAUGUUAACACAGAAAUUGUUUGGUCCAUCUGCUUCAGGUUACAAAUGAGCAAAUGGACAGAAAAUGACUAGCCCAAGGUCUCACGACAGUUUGCCAUGCUUUUUUCAUGUAUUAAGUAGUCACAGAAAAGAAUAUGUAGGGCCGGCGCCGCGGCUCAAUAGGCUAAUCCUCUGCCUGCAGCGCUGGCACAUGGGGUUCUAGUCCCGGUUGGGGCGCCAGAUUCUGUCCCAGUUGCCCCUCUUCCAGGCCAGCUCUCUGCUAUGGCGCAGGAGUGCAGUGGAAGAUGCUUGGGCCCUGCACCCCAUGGGAGACCAGGAGAAGCACCUGGCUCCUGCCUUCAGAUCAGCGCAGUGCGCCGGCCGCAGUGUGCCGGCCGCGGCGGCCAUUGGAGGAUGAACCAAUGGCAAAAGGAAGACCUUUCUCUCUGUCUCUCUCUUCUCUCACUGUCCACUCUGCCUGUCAAAAAAAAAAAAAAAAAAAAAAAAAAAAGGGAUAUGUAGGGAAAAAUGUGGACAUCAGAACAAAGUUAAGGAACAACAAAAGAAUAAACAAGGCAUUGGUCAGCGCCGUGGCUCACUAGGCUAAUCGUUCACCUUGCGGCACCGGCACAUCGGGUUCUAGUCCCGGUUGGGGUGCCGGACUCUGUCCCGGUUGCCCCUCUUUCAGGCCAGCUCUCUGCUGUGGCCCAGGAGUGCAGUGGAGGAUGGCCCAAGUGCUUGGGCCCUGCACCCCAUGGGAGACCAGGAUAAGUACCUGGCUCCUGCCAUCGGAUCAGUGCGGUGCGGCGGCCAUUGGAGGGUGAACCAACAGCAAAGGAAGACCUUUCUCUCUCUCUCUCUUUCUUUCUCACUGUCCACUCUGCCUGUCAAAAAAAAUAAAUAAAUAAAAAUAAACAAGGCAUUUGCAACCUAUUUUUUUUUUUUUGCUUUGUUUGCUAUGAAGUUGAACUGCAAUAGGUAUCUGCCUUGCACCCUGGUAAAAUGGCCCUGCUCCAGGCUUUAGAAGUCCCCACUUCCAUAUUAUAACUGUGCACACAGGUCUCUUGAAAUCUGACACUGAGCAUUUGCACAGUAGCACGAACAAAUUCUGUUCUCAUGACUCUCAAUGUUCAGGAAACUAAUUCUCUGUAUCUGUUUACCCUUUGUGAUGUACAAAGGUGACAGUGCAAUUGCUCUCCAGGUCUGUGGUUCCUUUUGCUAUUGAGAUGGAAUAUGUUCCUGUGUCUGCAUGUGGAAAGGAUUGAGGCAUCUAUGGAGUUACUAUUCUACGGGUUCAGUUAUGUCAGUUUUAUAAGAUGAGUAAAUUCUAGAAAUCUGCCACACAACACAGUGCCUGUAACUAACAAUCUGUAUUGUGCACUCUAAAAUCUGGUAAGUGAACUGUUCUUUCCACAAAAAAAGGAAACAAAAAAAACCAAGAAAAUGGUACAAAGAAAUUUUGGGAGGUGCUUGAUAUGCUUAUUCCCUUGAUUGUGGUGAUAGUUUCACAGAUGUGUGUGUAUGUCCAAACUCAAGUUGUAUGCAUUAAAUAUGUGCAGAUUUUGCAUAUCACUUAUAACCCAAAAAAUGUUUUGUUAAAAAGAUUUUCAAAAGUUAGAUAAAAAUUCAGCCUUAAAUUAUUUAAACUUUAUUAAUUAGAAUUUAUGUUUUUAAUUUAAAGAAAUUACUGUGGAAAAUAAACUUCUUGAAUUCAUAAGAGAAAAUAAUUUUCAUUACAUUUUGAUGAAGAUAUAUACAAAUUUUGUACAUAUUGAACAUAGUUUCAUUUAUAUUUUAAUAUUCAUAGUCCUGUAAAGAUUGAAAUAGAUUUUACUUAAAGAAAAAAAUUACUAUUUUGGAACUAAUAUAUAAUAAAUUAUGAAUUAUGUAUGUUUUCAAUUUAUUAACCAUUUAAACAUGAUUGGUUAUCAACAGAAUAGCUAAUCUGAGCAAUAAUAAAAUUUUAUCUCUUGCUAUUUUGAUGACUUAAAACCAUAUAAAACCUGCACAUUUACAAAUAUUUUAAAAUUUAUUGUUCUGAGGAAUAUUUUUCAAAUAGAAAAUAAUUUGUUAAAUAGAAAAAAAUAUUUAAAAGUUUUUGAGCUUGACUUAAAACUUUAAAAUAUUUAUAUAUAUAUAUAUAUUUAUAUAUAUUAUGAACGCCUUUAUUUGUAUGCUUGCCUCAGGUCCUGCAAAAGUUAAAAGCAAUUCUGACCACAGCUUCCUUUCACAUAAGGUCCUUGUGGUCAGUGAAGAGCUUUGGGUAUUACCGGAUGUCUUAUCUUUGGCCACCAUAGCACUGAUUGUAUGUCUAGGAGGCAUUAAGUCACUGUUGCUUCAGUUGUCCUUACAUGGUAAAUCGAUACUCAUCUUUCUCUCUAAAUCAUACAUCUCUUCCUUGUUAGAGACUUUGGUGGCAACAGGAAAAUCUUCACAAUGCCUUUCAUCACAUCCUUCUCUUUUAAACCAGAAAUAUGAAGAAAAUGGAUUACAGUGCUUUGUCUGGGUACAAUAUUUAUGGAGAAGAAUUAAAAUCAAUAUUUUGAAGAUAACUAUAGCCUCAUGUACUUUUCAGCAUUAUUCACAAUAGUCAGGUAUGGAAGCAACCUAAGUGUCUGUCAGUGAAUGUGUGGAUAAGGAAAAUAUGGUCAGAGAAUACCAUUCCACUUCAACAAGGAGAAACUCUGUCCAACACAGAUAAACCCGGAGGACAUUUUGUGAAGUGAAAUAAGCCAGGAGCAGAAAGACAAAUACUGCAUGAUCUCACUUAUAUGUCAAAUCCAAAAAAAGCCCAUCUCCCAGAAAGAGUAGGACAACUGGCCAUCAGAACCUGGAGAUAAAGAGGCAGGGCCAUGGGGAACUGGGAGAUGUUGAUCAAAAGCAUAGUUUCAGUUCUUGGAAGUAGCGAGUGUUAGAGAUCUAUUGGACAACAUGAUGACCAGCGUUAAUGUAUUGUACACUUCAGCAUACUGAAAAAAUAGAUUUUAGAAGUUUCUACUAAAAAAAUUAAUAAGGAGGUUAGGUGAUGAAUAUGUUACUUAGCUUCAGUUAAUCUUUCUUUAGAAUGUAUACAUGCAAAUCACAGUCACAUUUUAAACUGUAAAUAUACACAAUUAUUGUCAAAUUAAUUAGUUUUAAAAAGAUGCUUUAUAAAUUUAUUGUUAGUCUAUUCAAAGCCUUCUGUUUUCCUCCCCUUCUCUGUAGUCAUGUUCUCAACUCCCUCUUGUAUCCUCCUUGAUGCCUACUUUUAAUCAAACUUGUAGAGUUAAGAUUUUUAAAUCUGACUUUCUGCCAUAAUUCUUCAAAUAGAUCAACUCCCUUUAUUCUCUAACAAUUUAACUCAUCCUGCAAAAAAGAGUAGUGCUUUCCUGAUGAUCAACAAAAAUGUUAUUUCAGUUGACAAUAUUUUAAAUCUAUCAAUGAUGGAAGUGCUCAGCUUCAUAUAAAUAUUGCAGGGAUGAUAAAAGAAUCUGGAAGUACUAUUAUUGCCAUUUUUGCUGGGUUUUUAGAUAAGAGGCUUAUCUCUGUGCUUCGCCCUUCAUUAAUUUUCUAUUUACUUGGCUUGUUCACCAAGUGGAGAGGAAGUGGGUUUCCUACAUGGUGCUAAGGCAAGCUGCCCUCCUUUGUUGCUGUCUUACCGGACCCCACAUUCCACAAAUUACUCUGUGUUGGGUGAGAUGGUUGCCAAGAUAGGCAGUCUAGACUAUAAUUAAAACUAAGAUUUUUUUUUCACUCUAUAAAUUUAACAGUUUAUUUCUUGAAACCAUCCUGUUUCUCCUUAAUUUGGCUGUAGGAAAAUAAACCACAAGUGACAUGUUUUUCACUGUGGUUUCCUCAGACACUGGAGCCACUCUUGUUUCAGGUAUUAUGGUUCAUAACGGUUCCAGAACCAGAUCAAGUAAUGAUGGUGUGUCGCAGAAAGGCUUCAUGGCUGUAACCCCAUUUAAGUAAAUUAUUAAAAUUUACUUGACAAGAAGAGGAAUGCCUUGGAAGUUUCUGGGACUAAACUAUCAAAGUCCCAGCCCAUCGGUAUUUAUAAUUCAGUGGAGCCAUGUAGACUCUAAAAGCACCGAGUGCCUUCUGUGCUUAACUUUUCCAUGAGUUAGAAGUAACAUAAAAUGUGUUCCUCAGUGAAGAAUUUAGAGUGCCCAUAAGCAAGUGUGCAGUCUGGCAAGUGCUGAGUUGCACGGUUAUUGAGUGUUUACAUUCUCAUAGCACUCACCACAGAUGUAUAGUUACAUUUAUGUGUGUGUGUGCUUAUGUUUGUCUUGACCAUUAAUUUUUAAACUGCUCUUGUUUGCUGUUGUAUUAUGAAGCCAGCAUCCUUAGAAGGUAAUUAGAAAAUCUGACGCUCAUCCAAGGAGGUAGUCUUGCUCUUAGCUCUGUCCAUAUGACCGCUCAGUAAUCUUGGGCUGUAACUUAUUGUUCCUUUUGAAAAUGACCACACUUUGUUGUCUUGGUGAGGUUGGGUGAGCAUGGCAAAGAUUCAGUCAAUGAUAAUUUAACAGAACCCAAAGAUCCAGAGACUCUGCCUGCAUGAUUUCUGAGCACGCAGAGCACUUCUUGUGACCUCUGUCUUAGAAAGGAGACAGCAAGCCUUGUAUUGACCAUUUUCUCCUUCAGAAUAACAAAAAUAGUGACGAUGAGGGGGGCAGUAGGUGGCGCCGGAUUUAGACGCUGCUUGGGAUACCCAUUUUCCAUAUUGGAGUGCCAGGAUUGGAAUUCUGGCCCUGCUACCAAUUCCAUGUUCCUGAUGAUGUAUACCUGGAAGGCCACAGUUUAUGGCUUGAGUAGUUGAGUCCCUGCCAUCCAUGUGAGAGACCUGGUUUGAGUUCCAAGGUGCCUGGCUUUGCCAUGGACCAGCCCAGGUUGUCAUAAGCCUAUGGGGGAGUGAACUAGCAGUUGGAAGCUAUCUCCUUCUGUCUGUCCAUCUGUCUGUCUCUCUGCCUUUCAAAUAAACAAAAAUAAAAUUUGAAAAAAAAUGUAAGAAAGAGUAACGAUGAAAUUCUAUGAAGCUUUUGUACAAUGUGUCAGAUAUUUGGGUAAAUGCAUCCUCUUCGUAAUUUAUUUAUUCAUCUUAACUGCACCAAGAAGUCCCUGUAAUUCUUAUCUCCAUUUUACAAAGCAGGGCACAGAGGUGCAGAGGCCAGUAUUUAUUUGAGUUCUUCCAGGGAGGGGGUGGCGGAAAAGGGAAUAAUAAAACCAGUCUGCCUUCAGAACCCAAGCUCUUCAUCUUUUCAUUCUCCUGGGGCAGAUAUAUUAGAUCAUCUAUUAUGAAGCAAUUGAGGAGAUCAAGAAAUACUCUCAGGCAGAUUUUGUUGCCUUUUGAGCCCUUCAUCAUGCUUUCAAACCUUCCAGUUGGCAUGGCUCUCUGCGCAUAAAAAGAUGUUUCAUUUACCGAAACGUGACUUCAGAAGUUUCAUGAAUGCAGCCAGCACUUCGUGGGAAACAAGGAGUUAAAGUGCUGACAGUCCUUCCUGUGUGCGUCCAGCCAGCAGCUGUUCAUCACAAAUACAGGCCUUUGAUCCUGACAGCUUUCCUUUCACUCAGGGGGAGAGGGAGGGCUUGACAUGGAGAAGCAGGAAAGACUAGAGAGAAAAGGGUCUUGUGUGUUUCCUGGGUGGAUUGCCUCCUUCUUGGCCUGCCUCCAGGAAGCGAGUCUUUUCCUGCCCUAAAACGUCAAGGAAAUAAAUCUCUCUCCUGUAGAGCAGACCUGAGAGAGGCCCAGGGGCAGCCGCCUGAGAUUCGUCAGGUCCAGUGACUAGGCUGUCAGGGUGGCCAGUGUGUGGCCUGGGAGGUUGCAGCCCCUGGCUGGAGCCAAGGAGGGGGUGUAUCAACAUGACCUAGAGAGGAGCAGGGUGGUGCUAGACAGGUCUUCAACCCCCCAGGGUAGGCAACCAGGGUAGCACCCAUAGUAAAAUAAACUAGGGUUCCUGAGACCAGCCCUCUGGAGAAGGAAGUUUAUAGAAAGCACAGGGGCUGGAGUUGUGGUAUAGCGGGUGAAGCCUCUGCCUGCGGCGCCAGCAUCCCAUAUGGACACCAUUUCAUGUCCUGGCUGCUGCUCUUCCAAUGCAGCUCUCUGCUAUGUUCUGGGAAAGCAGUAGAAGAUGGCCACUGAAGAUAUGGUAUCCAGGCUGAUAAUAUGAUGGAGAAAGGACUCCAUUAGGUUUGAUGAUUGAUUCGAUGGCCCUUUCUUAACUAUAUUCAUGUUGACUUGGCCAUGUGGAUGUCUCUCUGGUGGGCAGCCUUUCCAUUUUGGCUUGACAAUGUAACUUGCUUUGUCCUAUGAGACUUUUGCAGAUGCAACAGAAGUGGAUUUGAAGUGUGCUUGUGCCUUUGGGCAGACUGUGUGCUUCUGCAUGGCUAAGAGAAAAGUCUCUUGGCCCAACCUCAGCUCAUCCAAGGCUGUGAGUAAGCCCAGCUGAAAUCAGCAAAUCAGCAGAUGUGCAGGAAAGAAAUGCUCAUUGUGGGAUCCCUUGGAUAUUUUGGAGUUGCUGGUUAGGCAGUAUCAUUGAUUCCUUAGCUAAUUGUUAUGGCUUCUAUCAGAAUGAAGGCACCAUUAGAGUGGCAGUACUGAAAAAUAGAGCAAGAGAAAUAAAUAGGUCCUGGUAACAUGGUUUGAACUCUGAUCAUGAUGUGGCUAGAGCCAUCCACUUCUCAAACUUUCUCAUUUUUUUUUUUUUAGAUUUAUUCAUCUAUUUGAAAGUCAGAGUUACACAGAAAGAGGAGAGGCAGAGAGAGAGAAAGAGAGAAGGAGCUCAUCCAUCCGAUAGUUCACUCCCCAAUUGACUGCAAUGGCUGGAGCUACGCCAAUCCAAAGCCAGGAACCAGGAGCUUCUUCCCGGUCUCCCACAUGGGUGCAGGGGCCCAAGGACUUGGGCCAUCUUCCACUACUUUCCCAGGCCACAGCAGAGAGCCGGAUAGGAAGUGGAGUAGCCAGGUCUCAAACUGGUGCCUAUAUGGGAUACCAGCACUUCAGGCCAGAACAUUAACCUGCUGCGCCAGAGCACCGGCCCCAAACUUUCGCAUUCUGUGAGCCAAUAGAAUUAUCUCUUGCUUACAGCCCUUCAGAUCAGAUUUUAGUCAUUGGAAACAAGUCUUAUUAGACUGACUGUAAACUAAACAUGAACAGGAUCUUUCUGCUCUUGCAACCCUUACCAUACCAACACAUGGUAUAUACUUGUAUCACAUAUGCAUAGAGAAAUGUGUUUGUAUGAGGGAGAGCAUGUGGCAAGUUAUAAACUAAUCAAUGGAGAAAGAAGAGGCUUAGGUAUACUUCCCAGGACCAUAGAAUCUGGGAUGGAAAUUUAUGUGUGAAUGCAGGACCAACACCUAUGAACAAAAGAGAAGUAGAAGGGAGUGAAGGGAAAAGUGAAACUGCGAUGAUUUGCCUCAGAGGCCUCAGCAGAUCCCAUAGAAUCCUGGAGCUGGGUUAGUCGUUAGUCCCCUCAGACUUGUGCCCAUAAAAGCCAGAGAGCCAGAUCUUGGUACCCACCGCACUGCCAAGGCAUUGGUUGUGGGCUGGGUCCACUGAGACAAUAGGACCUGGAUGAGUAAGCUUUCUUCAGCCUGGGGCAAUUCCUGGAGAGGGGCACAACUGUGUAUGUCAGCAGCAAGCACUCUUGGCAGCUGAGAGGUUGAGUCUCUGUCCUAAAGGGAGACAGUGAUCUGGCUGGAGCGCCGUAGAGUCCACUGAGAGAGCCACGACUUGAUGUAGGGAUCUGGAUGGUUUCUGCUGACGUCAUCUAACAGGUCACCUGACUGAUUUGCUUUGUGUUAUCAGCAAAGGAGGAAUAAUCAGUCAGUCAACAGUGUAUUGAUUCGGUACUUGGGAGGGACAAAACAGCUCCACAUUUAUAUAGUGAGACAUAAGAACAGCAACAGCAGUUCUUUUUCAGACGGAUAAGAGGAGAUGUGUCGUGAGACGUCAUUUCAUAACCAGCCAGUGCUUUGCAUAUUUCCAGCGUAAUGGUGAACUAAAGGAACUUGCUGGCUCUCCAGUGUGCAGGUUCCCAUGGGGAUGGCAUUUAUCAGCCUACCCUUCUGCAUACCACCUGGUAUCCCAUAGCCUGAGAAACAGCAACAUCAGGUUGCUUGUUUUGACCCGGCAAAAUCAGAGGAGCUCUCAUGCUCUCAGAGCUGGCUGGUACAUACCAUGUUGCAAAGGGAGAGUCAGGCCUCUCCUGUAUGUUUUCCUUCCCUGUUGUUCUCUACACCGCCUUUCUCCAUCAUGUGCGAAACCUCCUGGGUGCCAGUUUAGAAGGGGUGGGGAGCACCUUUACCUACAGUUCUUCUUACUGAAAAAUUCUGUUUCUUGACUUUUCAGCACCCUUGUGUGGAAAUGUGUUACUUACAAUGCCUAAGAUAUUUGGAGUGGAAGCAGGGAAAAUAAUAAUAUUGGUGACACAUCAUAAAUCCAUGGAGACAGAGAUGCUGAAAGUGGCAGAAUUAAGUCCUUUGGAAAGCACAGGAGGUCAGCGUGAGGAGGGCAUGAUGGUGAAACAAGACUGUUUUCUUACUCCUAGGGUGCAACAUGGUACAGAGAGUGUUCAGGAGUCACACCAGAAGAGCACUGGUUUCACGUGAGCUUAGUGCUUCAUGUUAAUCAUUUUGACAUUUCCAGACAUGGGUUCAUACUGGUCCCCAUUCCACAACCGCCUGUUUCCCUCUUCUCCACAUGAAAGGCAGAGCUGUUGAGUGCUCCAUUCCUGUUGGUCUGGAGCCUUCCCAACUGUUUGUUUUCAGUGCUGUAAGAUUCUUGGGUAUGGAGAAUUGUAAUUUUCUCUCUACCUGGUCCUUUCUCUGAGACUGGGGCUAGUGAGUUAGGAGUUGGAGGGAGACAAAGGAUUUUAAGACUCACAAUGAGGAGAAUUGAAGAAAGGUUAGAUUUUAUAUUUUCUUCUCUGAUCAGCUUGAAAUGAUACCUAUAAUUUGGGUUUGAGCACUCAUAGUUUUUAUAUUAUUUAUGUGAUUCUGUUAUUAUGAACUUCAUCUUGAAUAAUAAUUUAUAAUUCAUUAUAGAUCAUGCCCCACCAUGUUAAGAAAAAGGCCCAGCUUUCCCAAGAAGUACAUUUAUUUAUAGCUAUUUAAUUGUGACAUUGAUCUCUGUGUAAAGAUUGCAAAAGCAUAAAAACUGUAUUAAGAGGAACUUUAUUUGAAAUUAUCAGUGGUUAUGAAGUUUUGCAUUUGAUAAAUUUCAACAUCUUCUCUGGUAAGAAAUAUUAGCAAAUUGGGGCAGAAAAAUUCUCUCUUUAUUUAAUACUAUAAAGCAUAGCUACUAUAAAACUAUACUAAACACUAUGUGUACUAGAGAAAUAUCAAAAUAGAUCCUCAAAUUUGGAAAAAAGACAAUGAGAUCAGCUGUCAUUGUUUUCAUGCAACAUUGUGGUGAAGAUCUUGAUCAUUACAAUAAGGAAUGAAAAAGAAAUAUGUGAUGAUUUGAAAUAGAGAGGAGACUAUCUAGAAAGUCCUAGAAGCUCAAGGGAAAUAACCAGCAGAAAGAGCAAAAUAGUUCAAUAAGGUAGUCAAUAUGUGGUAUCCAGGGUGUAUAACUAGGAAAUAUAAAGAAAAGAUCCCUGGCCGGCGCCGCGGCUCAAUAGGCUAAUCCUCCACCUAGCAGCGCCGGCACACCGGGUUCUAGUCCUGGUCGGGGUGCCGGAUUCUUUCCCGGUUGCCCCUCUUCCAGGCCAGCUCUCUGCUGUGGCCUGGGAAGGCAGUGGAGGAUGGCCCAAGUGCUUGGGCCCUGCACCCCAUGGGAGACCAGGAGAAGCACCUGGCUCCUGCCUUCGGAUCGGCGCAGUGCGCCGGCCACAGCGCACCAGCUGUGGUGGCCAUUGGAGGGUGAACCAACAGCAAAAGGAAGACCUUUCUCUCUGUCUCUCUCACUAUCCACUCUACCUGUCAAAAAAAAAAAAAAUCCCUUUCUCAGAAGCAACAGAAGCUGUAAAGUACUUAAGAACAAUAACAAAUGAGUAAGACCUUUAUAAGCAAAGUUGUAUUUAAUUAAAGGACAUGCUAGAAAUCCUGAAAAAAUUGAGACUUGUAUUGUGUUCUUUGAUGGGAAGAUUGAGCAUUGAAAAUUCUCCCUAGAUAAACCUGUUAGUUUGUAGAAAUCACAGUCAAAAGUAAGAAGCAGAAGUAGGUGUUUGGUGUAGCAGUUGAGAUGCCAGUUAAGGCACUCAAGCCCCAAACUGAAGUCCCUGGGUUCAAUUUCCAGCUCCAUCUCCUGAUCCUAGCUUCCUGCUAGUACAGACCCUGGGAGGCAGCAGGUGAAGGCUCAAGUAAUCAAUUCAUGUCCCCAACAUGGGAGACCUGAAUUGAUUUCAUGGUUCCUGGCUUCAGCCCAGCCCAGCCCUGGCCAGUGGAGAGUGAACCAGAAGACUAGAGUGGUAUCUCUCUCUCGAUCUCCCCACCCUCAUCCCUUGUCUUUCUGUCUCUCAAACAAAUGAAUAAAAGCUAGAGAUUGAAAAAACCAUUCUGGUUGCAGAGGGAAAGGGAUUUCGGCUUAUAAAAGCUAUACCCAAACCUCCAGACCUUGGGAGUCAUGAUAGUGCUACCCCUUCAAAGGAACCCAGCCCAGCUGCAGUUGCACCUGUUGUGGACCCUCACCACAGCAAACUGCUGGGCCUACCAGGGAUGCCAAAAGGCAGCAAGAUGCCUUCAGCAGCAUAAGAUCCAAAUCUCUUCUGCUGACUUGAUUAAAGCUCAGUGGAGCCACGAGCAUCAGACACGAACUCCAAUUCCCAUCUAUCACAGGAGUGGAAAGGAGGAAAACAUUGCUCUCUUGAUAGGCAGUCAGGAUAUUUUAUUUGAAUAAGUUUUAAAUGUAUGACCUUAUUUUAUCUCCAAAGCUGGUGAAGUAGAUAAAACCAUUUUGUAAAUAUAUUAAUAAGAAUUAAUUUGCUAAUUUUCUCUUUUCCUCCAGAAAUUAUUCCCUGUAUUUAGAAACAACACAUGAAUCUUUACCAGUUUCAUGCUUUUCAUUAGAUUCAUGAGAUCUUUCAGAACAUGCAACAUGUGUCCUUCUUCUAGAAGCAGUCAGAUGCUAAAUAAAUUUUAAAAUGUAAAAUAUCCAAAAACAGAGUCCAAAAGGAUGGCCCAAGAGUAUUGAUGGAAUCAGUUAUCAUAUUUAUUCAUCCCUGAUUAUGAUUGUUUUGAAAAGUCCAGGAGAACAGAGUAGAUGCCAGGAAACCAGAAAAAUGCAGCUCUGGUGCAAAUCUUCAAAGACUGAAGUUGAGCAGUCCUUUCAAAUUACUCUCCCUCACUGACAGUUUAGAAGAUUUGGCAAUAAUUGUAUAAAGCUGAAAUGUAAAACGAGCAAUGCACAAGAAGUUUUAACAAAGCAAUUUGAACUUGAAUAUGUAUCUGUAAUGAAGGGAUAAAGCCACUGGUCCACAGAUGGUCACUAUACUUUGCUCAAAUGUAUUGCCUGCCAGGACCCCACACAACUUCAUUUAUCAAAUUCUUUAAGCUUGAAAGAGCAGUUGUGAUGAUUCCAGUUUACCCUAGCCCUGAACAUGCUGAAGAACAUGGAGAUCAAAAAUGAGGAGAUAUAUAUAUAUAUAUAUAUUCCAAAGCAGCAAUGCCAGAUAGUUUGGUGAGAUUUGAUAUCAUUUUGAGUGAUCAGGAGAGAGAAGCUAGAAGACCCUAUAAUCUAGAAGAAGCUCCUAUAGAGUUAGCACCAAAAAGUCCAGCAAAGAUCUAAGAAGUGAUGCUGACAAGAAAGUAGGAAAUGAAACCAAAGAAAAAAGUUGAAAUUGAGUCAUUGGAGAAAACAAUUUGGAAACCCAGGGUUUGUCGCUCCCCCUCUUCGUGGAGGAACGACACAGGACCCUGCGCUGUUCUUUCGUCUGCUCGGCCCUCCCCGGGUUUGCUGCUGGUUCUUCCCGGGUUGGCUACUAUCCCUUCCACCUCCGUGGAAGGGCAGUUCCCCCUGGCCACAUUCCCCACUUCCGCAGGGGAGCGGCACACCGCCGGCCGGCUUUCUCGGGGGCUGCACGGGUGUUCCUUCAGCUAGAUGUUCCCCAUAGAUGUUCCUCGUGAAUGCCGUCUCUCUCCUCCUUUAUAGUCCUCCUCCGCCAAUCCCAACUCGGCUGCCCACACGCCGAGUACGCUGCUCUCCAAUCAGGAGCAAGUCCUACAGUUAAUUGGUUGAACUGGAGGCAGCUGUGCGGAAGCUGUUUACUUCUCUCCCAGCGCCAUAUUGUGGGAGAGCAGAUGCAUAGAAUAAGUCUUAAUUCCAGUAACUUAGUCUAGUCCGAGCUGCUCCCCACAGAGGAGAGCAGAUGCAUAGAAUAAGUCUUAAUUCCAGUAACUUAGUCUAGUCCGAGCUGCUCCCCACAGAUCCCCCUUUCUUUUUAUUUUUUUGGCGUUGAUACGCGCCUGUCUUCGGUGUCCCGCAGCACACACUCUGCUCUACUUGCUAGAGUUGCCACAGGCUCUUACAAGUCCUAUCCAUCAGGCAAACCGAAUCCGGGUCCUCUCUUCGCCAUGUUGUGAGGAGGUUUUUAGGCGCUGAUGCGUGCCUGUGUUCGGUGCCCUGCAGCGCAUGCUUUGCUCUGCCUGCAGGGGCUUACAAGCUCUAUCAGGCAAACCGAAUCCAAGCCUUCUCAUUGCCUUAUUGUGGGGGAGACUUAUUAGUGUUGGUUCGUGCCUAUCUUCGGUGACCUGCAGCUCAUACUCUGGUCGAGCUGCUUGCUGGCGCUUACCGCCUUAAAUCAGGCAGACCGAAUCCAAGCUUAAUAUUGUUGUAUUGUGGGGAAGCCUUACUGAUGUUAAUUCGUGCCUGUCUUCGGUGACCUGCGGCGCAUAAGCUGCUAGCUGCCCGCAGGUGCUCAUCGCCUCACUUGAUUAGGCAGACCGAAUCCAAGCUCUCACAUUGCAGUGUUGUAGGGAGGCCUUUUUAUUUCUCUAUUUCUCUAUCUCCGGGCAUUCCUAUUUCUCCCAUUUUACUUCUAUCUUCCAGCAUUCCUAUUUUUCUCACUUUACUUCUAAACUUCUGUUUCUCUUAUCCCUGCGGCUUUCCGGCACCUCGCCCCGCCGGCGGGUUCCCGGCUCUGCGCCGCUUCAGCCCGCGCGCCUCUCUCAUCUGCGCAGCUUCCCGGCUUUGCGCGGCUCGGCUUCGCGCGCUCCGCGGUCUCCACGCUUAACCCUUUCGCGUCUGAACCACGGCCUACGCCAGCCCCACGUUCCCUAUUUAUUCACGCCCCGUGCUCUCUCUGCACGCGGCGGCUUCCGCGAAUGUUUCCGCCACCACCGGCAUUCAGUCCAAGUUCCCCGGACUAACCUGGCGAAUCCUGGCGGCCCAUGUCUCUGCCUCUGGUUCCAGAUCUUCGCCUCUUGCUCCCCGGGGUGACUUGAAGAAUUCCAAGGUGGCUUAUAUCUCCGCCUCGGCCUGCACUCGCGGCUUCAUCCUCCCUAACAUUUUUCUCUACCCGGUAUGUUUCCUUAAGUUUUCUUCCAACAAUAUUCCUCUCAUUUCUCCUGGCUUCUCCCCACAGUCCGUAUCCGAGUCCAAGCCUCCUCCAGGUUUCACUUUCGCUUUCAAUCUCCUAGCUUCCCCGCCAUAGUCCGCAUCCGAGUCUAUGAAAGCUUUCACUUUCGCUUUCAAUCCUAACUUCUUUCCCACAGUCCAUAUCCGAGUCUAUGCCUAGGCUUUCAAUAGCUUCUUCCGGCACCUAGGCUCUUUGCUAGUCUCUCUCUCCGGUAUUUUCCCAUUUCUUUCCUCCUAAGUUUCCUAUCCGAGUCAGGUUUCCUAUCCGUUCUAGGUUUCCUAUCCGAGUCACGGCACCAUUAUGUCGCUCCCCGUCUUCGUGGAGGAACGACACUAAGCCCUGCCUAGGCUUCAUAUCCGAGUCACGGCACCAUUAUGUCGCUCCCCCUCUUCGUGGGGGAACGACACUAAACCCUGCGCUGUUCUUUCGUCUGCUCGGCCCUCCCCGGGUUUGCUGCUGGUUCUUCCCGGGUUGGCUACUAUCCCUUCCACCUCCGUGGAAGGGCAGUUCCCCCUGGCCACAUUCCCCACUUCCGCAGGGGAGCGGCACACCGCCGGCCGGCUUUCUCGGGGGCUGCACGGGUGUUCCUUCAGCUAGAUGUUCCCCAUAGAUGUUCCUCGUGAAUGCCGUCUCUCUCCUCCUUUAUAGUCCUCCUCCGCCAAUCCCAACUCGGCUGCCCACACGCCGAGUACGCUGCUCUCCAAUCAGGAGCAAGUCCUACAGUUAAUUGGUUGAACUGGAGGCAGCUGUGCGGAAGCUGUUUACUUCUCUCCCAGCGCCAUAUUGUGGGAGAGCAGAUGCAUAGAAUAAGUCUUAAUUCCAGUAACUCAGUCUAGUCCGAGCUGCUCCCCACAGAGGAGAGCAGAUGCAUAGAAUAAGUCUUAAUUCCAGUAACUUAGUCUAGUCCGAGCUGCUCCCCACAAGGGUUGACUGUCAUCUGGAAAACCACAGUGACGUAUGUGAUGUCAUGAGGAUAGUGACAGCAAAUUAUAUAUGUCAUCAGUGCAUGUCUUCCCGAACUGCCUGCCUGUCUCAUGGAAUCCUUGAAGUUCUGUCACCCAGGCAUGGCAACAUGAGGUCAUGUUAUUCCAGGCUUAUGAAUAUCCAACUCUCCCCUUUCACUGUCCCUGCAGUUCUUCCACUCUGUCCUGCAAUUGAGUCCAGACUGUCGAGUUCAUGUAGGAUUCAACUGUGGUCCUCUCCUACUGCUGAGAAACCUUAGAAGGUAAGGCUCUCCCUUGUCCAAAUGUUCAAACACAGUAGUUUUUGGGGUCAGACUGGGAUUCUUGCAAGCAGCCAGGGACUUUUCUCCCUACUCUCUUCCUCUUGAUCAUCAGAAUAGAGAUUUGAAAAAACAGAACCAUUUUCCCCCAGAUAAUCUUCUCUCAGAAAUCACAUUCACGUCUGGGUUUGCCUUUCAUUUUUGUACCAAGGACUUUAUGAAGUGGAAAUGGCUGAACUCAUCAUCCGGCAGGGCUCUCAGUUGCAGACCGCCAGUUCCCAAACCCCCAAGGUGUGAGGGCUGGGCUCUCCCCAGCUCAUUCUUUUCAAUAAACAUUCCCACACUUGGCCUUUUCCUCGAGCCGCCCUGUCCCUGCCCUCCCAGCGCCUGCAGCUUUCCACCUUGGCUCUGGCUCCUCCAAGCCUGGGCUCAGCCUUCCAAUUCCAGGUUGACCUUGGCUGGGCGCCCCAUAUGGUCAUUCUUCUGGUAAAAGUAGAAAAUCUUAGGCACAGAUUUCUGCACUUGGCUUUUUUGCAGAACGUUUCAGUAUCGAGGCCCGUGCAAACUCCAGCUGACACUGAGUCACAGAAGAGCACUUGCCUAUCAGAAGUCUGUGUUCAUGGAACUGGAUUUGGCCUUUGUUGUACCAGCUGCUGUGUCCAUGAUGAGAAAAGCUGGAGCUCAGCCGGGCCUCCAGUCUCCCCUGGGCUUGUCUUGCUUAGCAUCUGUGGGCAUGUAGGGCUCUCCGUGGUGUCCUUAGUACACACUGCACCUCUUCCAGUGGACAAAACUCUCAUAGGUAUUCUUUGCCAUCAUUGUGCUCCUAGACAUUGGGUCCAGGAUAGCCAUGAGAUACCUGUUUAGCUUUGUGUUUGGCUAUUUGAAAUAACUAAUUCAGUCAGUCAAAUCAGAUACCAUGGGUAAGGAACCAUAACAUGAGAAAAAAAUCAGAGAAACAGUCAUGGUAGGAAUAUGUAGAUCUCUGGUUUCUUCCUUGUUUUUUACCAUAUGGCUAAAAUCCUCCCUUACACCAGGGGGUAGCAGGUGAUACCUACCUGUUCAAGAGAAAGGUAGGUGGGGAGUUGGGAAACACUCCAGUUUCUGACAUCAGAUAGACCUGCAAUUAAAGAGUGCUCUGUAAAGUUCCAACUGAGUGUAUCAAAAAUCCUUGGGUCUCAGUUCCCUCCUUAGUAAAACAGGUACCACAGUUCUCAUCCUAUGAGGGAGUUGGGAGGAUAAACAAGAUGAUGUCUGAUAGUCCUUAUCCCAUUUUCUGCUACCAGCAAACCCUUAGUCCUAAUCAAGAUUUCCCCAGACCCUUGAUUCUCAUGACCUCCCUCAAAAUGGAAUGAAUUACAUGUUUUAUCCAACACUUCUCUUUCUCUACUAUGAACUAUAUGGCUGUCCAAUUUUUCUUCCUGAUCCAAUCAAUCGUUUGUGGGCUACUGCCUGUGUUUCAGUGUGACAUGUUGUGUAUCUACAAGUUAAGCAUUUUAGACCAAUUUCAUGAAGAAUCUGGAGACACUGGAAUUUUUUAAGAAUAAAUUCUCCUUUUGAUUCCUUGGCCAUCCUUGUCAUUAGUAUCCGGGAUGGCAGAUAUAUGUUGCACAGGUUGCCAGCACACCCUCCUGAAUCUACAGCAGACAUUAUUAAUUGAUAGCAGCACAUUUCCCAACUGCAGUGACAGGGUCUCAGAGUCCUUUUGAACACAUCAUACCAGGAACCAUUCUCAUUUGAUUAGAGCAGACCUUGAUGGGAGAAACUCAUUAGUCAUUGCCCUACACCAUUUUUCUUGUUACUUCUCUUGGACUUGUGAAUGUGUUAAAAUGAUCCUUGUAAUCAUCUGUGCUUCUCUUGUCUUCCCCAAUUAGAGUGACUAUACAAAUGUCAUUUUUAAAGAUUCUGCCACUGACCACUUGUCUCGAAGAAGACAAACGUAGGGCCAGUAGCACUUGCCAUGCAGGUAUAACCAGGAUCUUUCGUUGUAGGUUAUGUAAUAAAACUAUACUUUAUUAUGCUUUUUCUUCUUCUAUUAAUCCUCAUCAUUUCUCAUGACAUUAAAUACAUAUUCUUUUAUAACGUGAUAUUAGUGACUGUGCAAAAAGUCUAUCAAACUGAUAUACCUCUGCCUAUUUAACAGGGUCCCUGGUGUUGGUCUGGGUGGCUCCCAGGGCCUGGCUAUGAUAAAUAACCCUAUGAUAAAUUUUGUUGUGCCUUCAUGUGUUUCUUUCUGCACCUCCAAUUAUUCUCUUAGGAUGGAUUUCUAGAAAUUGGAAUCAGAGAAUAAAAUGGUAAAAAUAACUUUAGGCCGGCGCCGCGGCUCACUAGGCUAAUCCUCCGCCUGUGGUGCCGGCACACCGGGUUCUAGUCCCGGUCGGGGCGCCGGAUUCUGUCCCGGUUGCCCCUCUUCCAGGCCGGCUCUCUGCUGUGGCCCAAAAAGGCAGUGGAGGAUGGCCCAAGUGCUUGGGCCCUGCACCCCAUGGGAGACCAGGAAAAGCACCUGGCUCCUGGCUUCGGAUCAGCAUGAUGCGCCGGUGCACUGCGCCGGCCGCGGCAGCCAUUGGAGGGUGAACCAACGGCAAAGGAAGACCUUUCUCUCUGUCUCUCUCUCACUGUCUACUCUGCCUGUCAAAAAUAAAUAAAUAAAUAAAUAACUUUAAAGAUCUCGCUGCACAUUGCCUUUCUGUUUUCCGAAAAUGUUGAGACAAAUUACACUCCCAUUAUUAAAGUGAUAAUAAUACUUACCCUUAUGGGUCGCAUUUUUUGUGUCUGAUACUGUUCUCUUUUUUAAAAAAAUAUUUUUUAAAGAUUUUAUUUAUAUAUUUGAAAGGCAGAGUUACAGAGAGGCGGAGGCAGAGAGAGGUCUUCCAUCUGCUAGUUCACACCCCAGAUAGCCACAAUGGCUGGAGCUGGACCUAUCCGAAGCCAGGAGCCAGGAGCUUCUACCAGGUCCCCCACAUAGGUGCAGGGGCCAAGGACUUGGGCCAUUUUCUACUGCUUUCCCAGGCCAUAACAGACAGCUGGAUUGGAAGUGGAGUAGCUAGUCCAUCCUUCUGUCUCUAGAUAAGACUAUGGUGAAAUCAUACUAGCAAUAUAGAUUUUUUUUAAAUGGACUAAAUAGAAAAGUCCAGUUGUAUUCAAGGUGAUCGAAGCCACAAUGAAACAUUUUCGAACAAUAAGUGAAUGCAUUCCCUUCAGUUCUAGACUUCGCCACAACCAGCUGUGUGACUUUGGGCAAUGUAUUUAGCUUUAGUUUCCUCAGCAAUAAAAUUAGGGUCUGGUGAGGAUUAAAUGACUUAACGUAUGUAAAGCUCUUAGAACAGUAUCUGGGGGCCAGCGCUGUGGCGUAGCGGGAAGGCGGCAUACCAUAUGGGUGCCGGUUUGUAUCCCAGAUGCUCUACUUCUUUUUGUUGUUGUUGUUGAAAGUACAAAGAAAUAUUGGGGGCCAGCGCCUGGGCUCACUUGGCUAAUCCUCCACCUGCAGCACCAGCAUCCCAUAUGGGCAUUGGGUUCUAGUCCCAGCUGCUCCUCUUCCAGUGCAGCUCUCUGCUGUGGCCCAGGAAGGCAGUGGAGGAUGGCCCAAGUGCUUAGGCCCCUGCACCCACAUGGGAGACCAGGAGGAAGCACCUGGCUCCUGGCUUUGAAUCAGCGCAGCACCAGCCAUAGCAGCCAUUUGUGGGGUGAACCAAUGGAAGGAAGACAUUUCUCUCUGUCUCUCUCUCAUUGUCCAUAACUCUACCUGUCAAAUAAAUAAAUUAAAAAAAAAAAAAAAGACCUUCCUGGGCCACCUUUAAAAAAAAGAAAUAUUAAAGAAAAAUUAAAUAAAUUAAGCAUCAUUCCAUGUCCCCUCUACACUACCAUAUCAAUUUGUUUUGCAUAUCACCUUCCACAUGCAUACUUUACAAAGUCGCAAUCAUAGUGUGCAUAUUAUUUUGUAAUGUGCUUACUUUACUUACCAUAUCCUGGAUACAUCCAUGUGUCUACAGUCUUCCAAGUAAUUACUUUAGUGGAAGUGUAACACUUCCCUACUUUAUUAGCCCACUUUAUUCUCUGACAUGUAAUUUUUUUCCAACUUUUCACUAUUAUAAAUAAUAUAGACGUAAACGCAUCCAUGCAUUUACUUUUUUAUGCACUAUUCUUCAGGUUAAAAAUAUAGGAGCAGAAUUUAUGGAGCAAAGGAAACAGUCAUUUUUAUGGCCCUUGCUAUGUAGUACCAUAUUAUAUCACCAAAGGGUAUAUUUAAUUUAUUUUUUUU